rnacentral:lncRNA from 1 species
CUGAUUUAUCUGGAACCUAUUCUGAAAAGGAAAUACCCAGAUCAGUGAAUGGUGCCCUGUGACAGUGGAGUGAGAUUUUCCAAACACUAGGCCUGUUUGUUUCCUAAAGUGCUAUCACCUCAUACUGUAUGUUGUGCAAAUCCAUAAACAGCAUCCUAGUGUAUUUUUCUUCUUGUUUUGUUGCUGGAGAGCAGGUAUCUUAUGUGGAAAAUUAUUUACUGAGGAAAAAAUGUCAAUUUCUACAAACAUGUCUAUUGUCUUUCUAUUUAUAUUAUAAGACAUACUUGAAAGGGAAAAAAGGUACCUGACUUCACAAGGACUUCUUGUUGCCACUAUCCAGAGAGGCAGCACCGGGAGACAGGGCAAGCACGGACCUGGCUGUCAGCAAACCUGGGUUCCAGGCCAAGCCCCACCAGGAGGAGCUGGGAAGCCCUGGCUGACUGCCAGCCCCAGGUGCUUAUCCACAGCCUGUAGUUUCCUUAUUCUGCGUGGUGCUAAGUUUCUAUGAUGACCCACUUCUCUGAACUUUGAGCAUGGAUCGUGAGUGCCUUUACCACCAACCACUCUGGGCUGCCUUAGGAAAGGGAGAUGUGGUGGACGAGGAACGAAAGGUAAAGGGAACUCCUCCAUUCUCAGCCCAUGUGGUUUGAGAGGGCUGACUCACCUCCAGCUCCACGGUGGGCAUGAAGCCCAGGCAUAUGCCCACAAGCAGCUGUCCACAAUGACAAGUUCGAGGAUGGGCACGAGGUCCAAUACUGCCAACGAGAGUUAGGCCUGGGGCAUUACAUGGAUCUGUUGGAAUGAAAAAAGCAUGUUCUACUUCUGGAGUCACUCUGGAAGUGGAGCCUAGAGCCACUGAUGGCCGUUUUAUCACAUGGAGAAGAAACCUGCCUAAGAAUGGAGCCAAAGGAAAGCAGGGCCAAGAGAUGGCUCCAGACUGGACUCUGAUCACAUCAUCUGAGUCCCUGAGACCAGUAUUAACCCUUGAUCUUUCAAGUAUGUAAGUCAAUAAAGGUCUGUGUUGC